rnacentral:rRNA from 1 species
GAGUUUGAUCAUGGCUCAGAUUGAACGCUGGCGGCAUGCCUUACACAUGCAAGUCGAACGGCAGCAUGAUCUAGCUUGCUAGAUUGAUGGCGAGUGGCGAACGGGUGAGUAAUACAUCGGAACGUGCCCUGUAGUGGGGGAUAACUAGUCGAAAGAUUAGCUAAUGCCGCAUACGACCUGAGGGUGAAAGUGGGGACCGCAAGGCCUCAUGCUAUAGGAGCGGCCGAUGUCUGAUUAGCUAGUUGGUGGGGUAAAGGCCCACCAAGGCGACGAUCAGUAGCUGGUCUGAGAGGACGAUCAGCCACACUGGGACUGAGACACGGCCCAGACUCCUACGGGAGGCAGCAGUGGGGAAUUUUGGACAAUGGGCGAAAGCCUGAUCCAGCAAUGCCGCGUGUGUG